rnacentral:rRNA from 1 species
AUGCCAGGCGAAGCCGCCGCUUUGACGGCCCCGGCGUACGGCGCUCUGAUCCACCGCCUCGCCUCCACCGGCCGCGUCGAUGCCGUCCACGCCGCCCUCGCCUCCGCGCGCUCGGCCCUCGCCCCCGCCUCCCUCCACCCGCUCUACGUCGCCUCCAUACGCGCCUUCGCCCGGGCCGGCCGCCUCCAGGCCGCCGUCGACGCCUUCGAGCGCAUGGACCUCUUCGCCUGCCCGCCCCAAGCCCCCGCCUAUAACGCCAUCAUGGACGCCCUCGUCCACUCCCACCACCACCACCAGGCCCACAAGGUCUACGUCAGGAUGCUCGCCGCCGGCCUUGUCCCCGACCUUCACACCCACACCAUCCGCCUCCGCUCCUUCUGCCUCACCGCCCGCCCGCAUGUUGCCCUCAGACUCCUGCGCACUCUGCCAGACCGUGGAUGCCAUGCCAGACCCGUCGCGUACUGCACCGUCGUGUCUGGACUCUAUGCGCACGGCCACCCCCACGACGCACGUCGCCUGUUCGAUGAAAUGCUCCUGGGACCGGUGUUCCCUGAUACUGCCACUUUUAACAAGGUCCUGCAUGAUCUUUGCAAGAAAGGGGAUAUCUCUGAGGCUGCCGCGCUUCUUGCCAAGGUUCUCAAGCGGGGGAUGUCUGUGAACAGGUUCACCUACAAUAUUUGGAUCAGGGGGCUCUGCGAGUGUGAGAGGUUGGCCCAAGCCGUUGCACUUGUAAAAGAGAUGGACGACUACAUCACACCAGACGUUGUGACCUACAACACGCUCAUCCGUGGCCUUUGCAAGGGCUACAGAGCCCAGGAGGCUGCACACUACCUUCGUAGGAUGAUGAACCGGGGCUGCAUGCCAGAUGAUUUCACCUAUAACACCAUUAUUGAUGGGUACUGCAAGAUGGGAAUGAUGCAAGAAGCUACUGAGCUCCUUAAGGAUGCUGUCUUUAAAGGUUUUGUACCGGACCGGGUCACAUAUUGCUCCUUGAUCAAUGGCCUAUGUGCCGAGGGUGAUAUCGAGAGGGCGCUGGAGCUGUUUAAUGAGGCUCAAGCAAAAGAGCUGAAACCUGAUCUGGUAGUGUACAAUUCUCUUAUCAAGGGACUCUGCCGCCAGGGGCUGAUCUUGCAGGCCUUGCAGGUCAUGAAUGAGAUGUCUGAGGACGGCUGUCAUCCUGACAUUUGGACAUACAACAUUGUUAUCAAUGGGCUGUGCAAAAUGGGGAAUAUUUUGGAUGCCACAGUUGUGAUGAACGAUGCCAUUUUGAAAGGAUACCUUCCUGAUGUGUUCACCUUCAACACAUUGAUUGAUGGGUACUGCAAGAGGUUGAAGCUGGACAGUGCUCUUCAGCUUGUUGAAAGGAUGUGGACAUAUGGCAUCACCCCUGAUGCUAUCACAUACAAUUCGGUCCUUAAUGGUCUCUGCAAGUCUGGGAAGGCCAAUGAAGUUAACGAAACAUUCAAAGAGAUGACACUUAAAGGAUGUCGACCAAACACUAUUACCUACAACAUAUUGAUAGAGAAUUUCUGCAAGUCCAAUAAAUUGGAAGAGGCCUCUGGGGUGAUAGUGAGGAUGAGUCAAGAAGGACUAGCUCCUGAUGCAGUUAGCUUCAACACGCUUAUUCAUGGAUUUUGUAGGAAUGGUGAGAUUGAGGGAGCGUACGUACUUUUUCAAAAAUUGGAGGAAAAGGGGUACUCCACAACAGCUGAUACAUUUAAUAUCCUAAUUAGCGCAUAUUGCAGUCAACUGAACAUGCAAAUGGCUGAAAGUAUUUUUGAGAAGAUGGUCCAGAAGGGAUAUAGACCUGAUUCGUAUACUUAUCGCGUCCUAAUUGAUGGAUCAUGCAAGACUGCAAAUGUUGACCGCGCAUACGAGCAUCUCGUGGAAAUGAUAAAUGGGGGUUUCAUUCCAUCAAUGGCUACUUUUGGCCGUGUAAUAAAUACACUCGCAGUGAACCGUCAGAUUACGGAAGCUGUGGGCGUUAUUCGUGUCAUGGUUAGAAUUGGAGUUGUUCCCGAGGUUGUAGAUACCAUCUUGAGUGCUGAUAAGAAGAAGAUAGCUGCACCAAAGAUACUUGUUGAGGACUUGAUGAAGAAGGGUCACAUUAGUUACCCUACUUAUGAAGUACUGCAUGAAGGAGUGAGAGAUAACAAACUAAAUAGAAAACAGGAACAGAAUAAAUAUAUUUAG